rnacentral:rRNA from 1 species
GUGCCAGCAGCCGCGGUAAUACGUAGGUGGCUAGCGUUGUCCGGAGUGACUGGGCGUAAAGCGCACGUAGGCGGCUUUCUAAGUCAGGGGUGAAAUCCUGGAGCUCAACUCCAGAACUGCCCUUGAUACUGACGGUCUCGAGUCCGGGAGAGGUGAGUGGAACUGCGAGUGUAGAGGUGAAAUUCGUAGAUAUUCGCAAGAACACCAGUGGCGAAGGCGGCUCACUGGCCCGAUACUGACGCUGAGGCACGAAAGCGUGGGGAGCAAACAGGAUUCGAUACCCGGGUAGUCC